rnacentral:rRNA from 1 species
CACGUAGGGGGCAAGCGUUGUCCGGAUUUAUUGGGCGUAAAGAGCUCGUAGGUGGUUCGGUAAGUCGGGUGUGAAAGCCCCGGGCUCAACCUGGGAAUUGCAUUCGAGACUGAAUAGCUAGGGUACGGUAGAGGGAAGCGGAAUUUCCGGUGUAGCGGUGAAAUGCGUAGAUAUCGGAAGGAACAUCAGUGGCGAAAGCGGCUUCCUGGACCAGUACCGACGUUCAGGCACGAAAGCGUGGGGAGCAAACAGG